rnacentral:rRNA from 1 species
CGAUUUCCGAAUGGGGAAACCCAGUGUGUUUCGACACACUAUCAUUAACUGAAUCCAUAGGUUAAUGAGGCGAACCGGGGGAACUGAAACAUCUAAGUACCCCGAGGAAAAGAAAUCAACCGAGAUUCCCCCAGUAGCGGCGAGCGAACGGGGAGGAGCCCAGAGCCUGAAUCAGUGUGUGUGUUAGUGGAAGCGUCUGGAAAGGCGCGCGAUACAGGGUGACAGCCCCGUACACAAAAAUGCACAUAUUGUGAGCUCGAUGAGUAGGGCGGGACACGUGGUAUCCUGUCUGAAUAUGGGGGGACCAUCCUCCAAGGCUAAAUACUCCUGACUGACCGAUAGUGAACCAGUACCGUGAGGGAAAGGCGAAAAGAACCCCGGCGAGGGGAGUGAAAAAGAACCUGAAACCGUGUACGUACAAGCAGUGGGAGCCUCUUAAUGGGGUGACUGCGUACCUUUUGUAUAAUGGGUCAGCGACUUAUAUUCUGUAGCAAGGUUAACCGAAUAGGGGAGCCGAAGGGAAACCGAGUCUUAACUGGGCGUUAAGUUGCAGGGUAUAGACCCGAAACCCGGUGAUCUAGCCAUGGGCAGGUUGAAGGUUGGGUAACACUAACUGGAGGACCGAACCGACUAAUGUUGAAAAAUUAGCGGAUGACUUGUGGCUGGGGGUGAAAGGCCAAUCAAACCGGGAGAUAGCUGGUUCUCCCCGAAAGCUAUUUAGGUAGCGCCUCGUGAAUUCAUCUCCGGGGGUAGAGCACUGUUUCGGCAAGGGGGUCAUCCCGACUUACCAACCCGAUGCAAACUGCGAAUACCGGAGAAUGUUAUCACGGGAGACACACGGCGGGUGCUAACGUCCGUCGUGAAGAGGGAAACAACCCAGACCGCCAGCUAAGGUCCCAAAGUCAUGGUUAAGUGGGAAACGAUGUGGGAAGGCCCAGACAGCCAGGAUGUUGGCUUAGAAGCAGCCAUCAUUUAAAGAAAGCGUAAUAGCUCACUGGUCGAGUCGGCCUGCGCGGAAGAUGUAACGGGGCUAAACCAUGCACCGAAGCUGCGGCAGCGACACUAUGUGUUGUUGGGUAGGGGAGCGUUCUGUAAGCCUGUGAAGGUGGCCUGUGAGGG